rnacentral:pre_miRNA from 1 species
AAGGUUUGUGGAGAAAGGGAGCUUCCUUCAGUCCAGUCCGAGGCAGUUCGAAAGCUGAGAAUACAGCUGCCGACUCGUUGGUUCACGAACUCAUCGAAUUAUAUACGAACCGGCGAUGGGUUUUUGAUCCAACGAUGCGGGAGCCGUGUUCAGCUUCUCCUGUCACGUCUUGGACUGAAGGGAGCUCCCUUGUUAUUAUGUACCUA